GACGAACGCUGGCGGCGUGCUUAACACAUGCAAGUCGAACGGAAAGGCCCUGCCUUUGUGGGGUGCUCGAGUGGCGAACGGGUGAGUAAUAUGUGAGUAACCUGCCCUUGACUUUGGGAUAACUUCAGGAAACUGGGGCUAAUACCGGAUAGGAGCUCCUGCUGCAUGGUGGGGGUUGGAAAGUUUUGGCGGUUGGGGAUGGAUGCGCGGCUUAUGAGCUUGUUGGUGGGGUAGUGGUUUACAAAGGCUUUGACGGGUAGACGGCCUGAGAGGGUGACCGGCCACAUUGGGACUGACAUACGGCCCAUACUCCUACGGAAGGCAGCAGUGGGGAAGAUUGCACACUGAGCGGAGGCCUGAUUCAGCAACGCCGCGUGCGGGGUGACGGCCUUCGGGUUGUGAACCGCUUUCGCCUGUGGCGAAGCGUGAGUGACGGUAAUGGGUAAAUAAGCACCGGCUAACUACGUG
rnacentral:rRNA from 1 species